rnacentral:tRNA from 1 species
ACCGGGGUGACAGAGUAUAAAUGCUUUAGAUUUAAAAUCUAAAGAUGGCUAAGCCCUGUC